rnacentral:rRNA from 1 species
AGCAGCCGCGGUAAUUCCAGCUCCAAUAGCGUAUAUUAAAGUUGCUGCAGUUAAAAAGCUCGUAGUUGAAUUUCGGGAUCAAUACGUUGGUCGUGCUUUCGGGUACGUACUGGCGUCAUUGGUUUCUCUCUUCUGACGAACCAUGAUGUCAUUAGUUUGGUGUUAUGGGGAGUUAGGACUGUUACUUUGAAAAAAUUAGAGUGUUUAAAGCAAGCUAACGCUUGAAUACAUUAGCAUGGAAUAAUGAAAUAGGACGUUCGAUCCUAUUUUGUUGGUUUCUAGGAUUGACGUAAUGAUUAAUAGGGAUAGUUGGGGGCAUUAGUAUUCAAUUGUCAGAGGUGAAAUUCUUGGAUUUAUUGAAGACUAACUACUGCGAAAGCAUUUGCCAAGGAUGUUUUCAUUAAUCAAGAACGAAAGUUAGGGGAUCGAAGACGAUCAGAUACCGUCGUAGUCUUAACCAUAAACUAUGCCGACUAGGGAUCGGAUGAUGUUAAUUUUUUAGUGACUCAUUCGGCGCUUA